rnacentral:rRNA from 1 species
GUAGGAUAGGUGGGAGGCUUUGAAGCGUGGACGCCAGUCUGCGUGGAGCCAUCCUUGAAAUACCACCCUUUAAUGGCUGGUGUUCUAACGUGGACCCGUUACCCGGGUUGCGGACAGUGUCUGGUGGGUAGUUUGACUGGGGCGGUCUCCUCCUAAAGAGUAACGGAGGAGCACGAAGGUUAGCUAAUCCUGGUCGGACAUCAGGAGGUUAGUGCAAUGGCAUAAGCUAGCUUGACUGCGAGAGUGACGGCUCGAGCAGGUGCGAAAGCAGGUCAUAGUGAUCCGGUGGUUCUGUAUGGAAGGGCCAUCGCUCAACGGAUAAAAGGUACUCCGGGGAUAACAGGCUGAUACCGCCCAAGAGUUCAUAUCGACGGCGGUGUUUGGCACCUCGAUGUCGGCUCAUCACAUCCUGGGGCUGAAGUAGGUCCCAAGGGUAUGGCUGUUCGCCAUUUAAAGUGGUACGCGAGCUGGGUUUAGAACGUCGUGAGACAGUUCGGUCCCUAUCUGCCGUGGGCGCUGGAGAAUUGAGGGGGGCUGCUCCUAGUACGAGAGGACCGGAGUGGACGCAUCACUGGUGUUCGGGUUGUCAUGCCAAUGGCACUGCCCGGUAGCUAAAUGCGGAAGAGAUAAGUGCUGAAAGCAUCUAAGCACGAAACUUGCCCCGAGAUGAGUUCUCCCUGACCCUUCAAGGGUCCUGAAGGAACGUU